CAGGCCUAACACAUGCAAGUCGAGGGGUAACAGGGAGAAGCUUGCUUUUCUGCUGACGACCGGCGCACGGGUGCGUAACGCGUAUGCAACCUACCUUCUACAGGGGGAUAGCCCAGAGAAAUUUGGAAUAAUACCCCAUACGAUCAAUGAUUGGCAUCGAUUAUUGAAGAAAACUCCGGUGGUAGAAGAUGGGCAUGCGUCCUAUUAGUUAGUUGGUGAGGUAACGGCUCACCAAGACAUCGAUAGGUAGGGGCCCUGAGAGGGGGAUCCCCCACACUGGUACUGAGACACGGACCAGACUCCUACGGGAGGCAGCAGUGAGGAAUAUUGGACAAUGGGGGCAACCCUGAUCCAGCCAUGCCGCGUGCAGGAAGACUGCCCUAUGGGUUGUAAACUGCUUUUAUACAGGAAGAAACCUACUUACGUGUAAGUAGCUGACGGUACUGUAAGAAUAAGGAUCGGCUAACUCCGUGCCAGCAGCCGCGGUAAUACGGAGGAUCCAAGCGUUAUCCGGAAUCAUUGGGUUUAAAGGGUCCGUAGGUGGUUAAUUAAGUCAGAGGUGAAAGCCAGCAGCUCAACUGUUGAACUGCCUUUGAUACUGAUUAACUUGAGUUAUCGUGAAGUAGUUAGAAUAUGCAGUGUAGCGGUG
rnacentral:rRNA from 1 species